rnacentral:rRNA from 1 species
GAAGGGGGGACGGAGAAGGCUAUGUUGGCCGGGCGACGGUUGUCCCGGUUUAAGCGUGUAGGCUGGUUUUCCAGGCAAAUCCGGAAAACUAAGGCUGAGGCGUGAUGACGAGGCACUACGGUGCUGAAGCAACAAAUGCCCUGCUUCCAGGAAAAGCCUCUAAGCAUCAGGUAACAUCAAAUCGUACCCCAAACCGACACAGGUGGUCAGGUAGAGAAUACCAAGGCGCUUGAGAGAACUCGGGUGAAGGAACUAGGCAAAAUGGUGCCGUAACUUCGGGAGAAGGCACGCUGAUAUGUAGGUGAAGUCCCUCGCGGAUGGAGCUGAAAUCAGUCGAAGAUACCAGCUGGCUGCAACUGUUUAUUAAAAACACAGCACUGUGCAAACACGAAAGUGGACGUAUACGGUGUGACGCCUGCCCGGUGCCGGAAGGUUAAUUGAUGGGGUCAGCGCAAGCGAAGCUCUUGAUCGAAGCCCCGGUAAACGGCGGCCGUAACUAUAACGGUCCUAAGGUAGCGAAAUUCCUUGUCGGGUAAGUUCCGACCUGCACGAAUGGCGUAAUGAUGGCCAGGCUGUCUCCACCCGAGACUCAGUGAAAUUGAACUCGCUGUGAAGAUGCAGUGUACCCGCGGCAAGACGGAAAGACCCCGUGAACCUUUACUAUAGCUUGACACUGAACAUUGAGCCUUGAUGUGUAGGAUAGGUGGGAGGCUUUGAAGUGUGGACGCCAGUCUGCAUGGAGCCGACCUUGAAAUACCACCCUUUAAUGUUUGAUGUUCUAACGUUGACCCGUAAUCCGGGUUGCGGACAGUGUCUGGUGGGUAGUUUGACUGGGGCGGUCUCCUCCUAAAGAGUAACGGAGGAGCACGAAGGUUGGCUAAUCCUGGUCGGACAUCAGGAGGUUAGUGCAAUGGCAUAAGCCAGCUUGACUGCGAGCGUGACGGCGCGAGCAGGUGCGAAAGCAGGUCAUAGUGAUCCGGUGGUUCUGAAUGGAAGGGCCAUCGCUCAACGGAUAAAAGGUACUCCGGGGAUAACAGGCUGAUACCGCCCAAGAGUUCAUAUCGACGGCGGUGUUUGGCACCUCGAUGUCGGCUCAUCACAUCCUGGGGCUGAAGUAGGUCCCAAGGGUAUGGCUGUUCGCCAUUUAAAGUGGUACGCGAGCUGGGUUUAGAACGUCGUGAGACAGUUCGGUCCCUAUCUGCCGUGGGCGCUGGAGAACUGAGGGGGGCUGCUCCUAGUACGAGAGGACCGGAGUGGACGCAUCACUGGUGUUCGGGUUGUCAUGCCAAUGGCACUGCCCGGUAGCUAAAUGCGGAAGAGAUAAGUGCUGAAAGCAUCUAAGCACGAAACUUGCCCCGAGAUGAGUUCUCCCUGACUCCUUGAGAGUCCUGAAGGAACGUUGAAGACGACGACGUUGAUAGGCCGGAUGUGUAAGCGCAGCGAUGCGUUGAGCUAACCGGUACUAAUGAACCGUGAGG